CACAAAAGGAAUUCGCUCCAUUAAAACAGAAUGAAUGAACCCUCAGUAAUUCAGACCAAGGAAGGUCAUGGUCACGGUCUUGUAUUCUGCUGGAGUGUACAGGCAGUAGUGACUAUCGUGUGGGCAUCCAUGCCUCUCCUGAAGCAAAGGAGCACCUGGCUCCCCCUUCAUGCAGCUGACCAUGGUCGGGUUGCUGCCAGCCGCUACACACUAGACCUCCAUCGAACUGUCAAAGUUGUUUUAUCAUGCGUGGCUAGAUAAUUUUUUUCCUGGCAUGUUGAAAUUAACCCAGAACUCAUCAUUGUGUAAAGUUGCUGAAUUGUUCUUUCCAAUAGACAUUUCCUUUUAUUUAACAGUCUUGUUUUCACCUGCCUGAAAUGGCAGUGUCUGGCAUAGAAAGGUGCAAGCUGCAUGAGUACAAGUAUGACAGAAGCUCACAAAUCUCA
rnacentral:lncRNA from 1 species